UACGUAGGGGGCAAGCGUUGUCCGGAAUCAUUGGGCGUAAAGAGCGUGUAGGCGGCCCGAUAAGUCCGCUGUGAAAGUCCAGGGCUCAACCCUGGAAUGCCGAUGGAUACUGCGGAGCUAGAGUCCGGAAGAGGCGAGUGGAAUUCCUGGUGUAGCGGUGAAAUGCGCAGAUAUCAGGAGGAACACCAAUGGCGAAGGCAGCUCGCUGGGACGGUACUGACGCUGAGACGCGAAAGCGUGGGGAGCAAACAGG
rnacentral:rRNA from 1 species